AGUAACGCGUGAGCAAUCUGCCUUUGGAUGGGGGAUAACAACCGGAAACGGCUGCUAAUACCGCAUAAUGCAAUGGGACCGCAUGGUUCUGCUGCCAAAGAUUUAUUGUCCAAAGAUGAGCUCGCGUCUGAUUAGCCAGUUGGCGGGGUAACGGCCCACCAAAGCGACGAUCAGUAGCCGGACUGAGAGGUUGAACGGCCACAUUGGGACUGAGACACGGCCCAGACUCCUACGGGAGGCAGCAG
rnacentral:rRNA from 1 species